GAUGAACGCUGGCGGCGUGCUUAACACAUGCAAGUCGAACGAAGCAUUUGCGACAGAUUUUUUCGGAAUGAAGUUGCUUAUGACUGAGUGGCGGACGGGUGAGUAACGCGUGGGUAACCUGCCUUGUACUGGGGGAUAGCAGCUGGAAACGGCUGGUAAUACCGCAUAAGCGCACAAUGUUGCAUGACAUGGUGUGAAAAACUCCGGUGGUAUAAGAUGGACCCGCGUCUGGUUAGCUAGUUGGUGAGAUAACAGCCCACCAAGGCGACGAUCAGUAGCCGACCUGAGAGGGUGACCGGCCACAUUGGGACUGAGACACGGCCCAGACUCCUACGGGAGGCAGCAGUGGGGAAUAUUGCACAAUGGAGGAAACUCUGAUGCAGCGACGCCGCGUGAGUGAAGAAGUAAUUCGUUAUGUAAAGCUCUAUCAGCAGGGAAGAUAGUGACGGUACCUGACUAAGAAGCUCCGGCUAAAUACGUG
rnacentral:rRNA from 1 species